rnacentral:rRNA from 1 species
CGCCUGUUUAUCAAAAACAUCGCCUUCUGAUAAACCAUAGAAGGUCCAGCCUGCCCAGUGAAUUAAUUUAACGGCCGCGGUAUCCUAACCGUGCGAAGGUAGCGUAAUCACUUGUUCUUUAAAUGAGGACUAGUAUGAAUGGCACCACGAAGGUUAUACUGUCUCCCUUUUUUGAUCAGUUAAACUAAUCUUCACGUGAAGAAGCGUGAAUAAAUGUAUAAGACGAGAAGACCCUAUGGAGCUUAAAAUUACGCAACAAUUGUUAUUAAUCUUAAAUUUUAUGAAUAAUUUUUUACUAAACACCAUGAUUGCUAAUUUUUGGUUGGGGUGACCGCGGAGUAAAAAUUAACCUCCACAAUGAAAGAAACCAAUAUUCUAAACUAAGAGCUACAACUCAAAGUAUUAAUAUUUUAACAUUCUUUGAUCCAAUUAUUUGAUCAACGAACAAAGUUACCCUAGGGAUAACAGCGCAAUCUACUUUGAGAGCUCCUAUCGACAAGUAGGUUUACGACCUCGAUGUUGGAUCAGGGUAUCCUAGUGGUGCAGCCGCUACUAAUGGUUCGUUUGUUCAACGAUUAAAACCCUACGUGAU